UACUAGAGUAGCACUCGCAUAUCAAUAAGCGGAGGAAAAGAAACUAACAAGGAUUCCCCUAGUAACGGCGAGUGAAGCGGGAAGAGCUCAAAUUUGAAAUCUUAAAGGGUUUCCCUUUACGAAUUGUAGUUUAAAGAAGUGUUUUCUGUUGAGGUUUUGGUAAAAGUUCUUUGGAAUAGGACAUCAUAGAGGGUGAGAAUCCCGUAUUUGACCUUUACUUUCAACUUUGUGAUACACUUUCAAAGAGUCGGAUUGUUUGGGAAUGCAGUCCAAAAUGGGUGGUAAAUUUCAUCUAAAGCUAAAUAUUGGCGAGAGACCGAUAGCGAACAAGUACCGUGAGGGAAAGAUGAAAAGAACUUUGAAAAGAGAGUUAAACAGUACGUGAAAUUGUCAAAAGGGGAGCGUUUGACACCAGUGUUGUUUUUCUGAAAAUCAAUUAAAGAACUGUUUAUGCUAAGUUGUUUAGACUUUAUCAGCUAUCUGUUUAGUUUUGAGCUUUUCUUUAAUGCACUUUUCAGUUAACAAGUCAACAUCAAUUUCUUUUGCUGUAAAAAAGCUUGAGGAAGGUGGCUUGAGAUUCGUCUUAAGUGUUUAUAGCCUCUUGCCUAUGCAGUCGGAGAGAUUGAGGUCUGCAGCGUAGAUCCUUCGGGGCUAAAUGCAUUUGUGCUAAGUUAUAGCAUUUUCAUAGACAACUUGUUGACUAUGAUUUGUCUUGUAGCUUACUCGCUUAUGUUAUUUUACCUACGCUUAGGAUGUUGAACUACUGAGACAUAGA
rnacentral:rRNA from 1 species